CCUACGGGCGGCAGCAGUGAGGAAUAUUGGUCAAUGGACGAGAGUCUGAACCAGCCAAGUAGCGUGAAGGAUGACUGCCCUAUGGGUUGUAAACCUCUUUUAUAUGGGAAUAAAAUGUUCCACGUGUGGGAUUUUGUAUGUACCAUAUGAAUAAGGAUCGGCUAACUCCGUGCCAGCAGCCGCGGUAAUACGGAGGAUCCGAGCGUUAUCCGGAUUUAUUGGGUUUAAAGGGAGCGUAGGUGGAUUGUUAAGUCAGUUGUGAAAGUUUGCGGCGCAACCGUAAAAUUGCAGUUGAAACUGGCAGUCUUGAGUACAGUAGAGGUGGGCGGAAUGCGUGGUGUAGCGGUGAAAUGCUUAGAUAUCACGAAGAACUCCGAUUGCGAAGGCAGCUCACUGGACUGCAACUGACACUGAGGCUCGAAAGUGUGGGUAUCGAACAGGAUUAGAUACCCUUGUAGUC
rnacentral:rRNA from 1 species